rnacentral:rRNA from 1 species
CAGUAGCCGCGGUAAUACAGAGGGUGCGAGCGUUAAUCGGAUUUACUGGGCGUAAAGCGUGCGUAGGCGGCUAAUUGAGUCGGAUGUGAAAUCCCCGAGCUUAACUUGGGAAUUGCAUUCGAUACUGGUUAGCUAGAGUGUGGGAGAGGAUGGUAGAAUUCCAGGUGUAGCGGUGAAAUGCGUAGAGAUCUGGAGGAAUACCGAUGGCGAAGGCAGCCAUCUGGCCUAACACUGACGCUGAGGUACGAAAGCAUGGGGAGCAAACAGGAUUAGAUACCCGUGUAGUCCCUGUCUCUUAUAC